rnacentral:lncRNA from 1 species
CGCGCUCACAAUUAAUUAUCUGAAUUUGAAAAAUAGAAAGAAAAUAAUGAGCUAGACAGCCCAGUAAGUAACAAAUAUCUCAACUAGAUAUUUCAGAUAUUAUAAAAUUUUCAAGAAUAAUGCUGCAAAUAAAUAUAUUUCAUGCUGAUUUUAUACAAAUCCAAUCUUUUCAAAUAUUCAUAUAUCAUAAAUUCGAUUCGAUUCAAAACACUCGUAACUCAACAGCCUCGACUACGACCAACGUUUAACUCUCAUUGACGGGGUCCACUGAAUACCAGCGCACAACCCCCACUGGCAGGGUCCACAAACACCAGCACACAACCCCCACUGACAGGGUCCACUAAAUACCAACGCACAAUCCCAUUGGUAGGGUCCACUGAGUACCAACGUAUAAUUCUCAUUGGCGGGGCCUACUGAAACAUAGUUAGGCUGAGAGCAUAAAUUCGAUCUGUAUCAAAAUAUUAUUGUAUCAUAACAUAUCAUAAUUUUUCACUGAACAUGUGCAUGAUCGACGAACCAUAAUAUUUCAAAAGUACUUUUCUUUUAAAACAUAAUUUCAUAAAUCAUGCAUAAUUUCAAAGAAUAAUUAUUUAUUUUAAGAAUAAAUAUGAAAUAUCUCGAGAAGAUAAUUUAUUACUUAUCUUUCAUAGAGUACUGAAUGAAC